rnacentral:rRNA from 1 species
AUUGAACGCUGGCGGCAUGCCUUACACAUGCAAAUCGAACGGUAACGGGCCUUCGGGUGCCGACGAGUGGCCAACGGGUGAGUAAUACAUCGGAACGUGCCCGAUCGUGGGGGAUAACGAGGCGAAAGCUUUGCUAAUACCGCAUACGAUCUACGGAUGAAAGCAGGGGACCGCAAGGCCUUGCGCGGACGGAGCGGCCGAUGGCAGAUUAGGUAGUUGGUGGGAUAAAAGCUUACCAAGCCGACGAUCUGUAGCUGGUCUGAGAGGAUGAUCAGCCACACUGGGACUGAGACACGGCCCAGACUCCUACGGGAGGCAGCAGUGGGGAAUUUUGGACAAUGGGCGCAAGCCUGAUCCAGCCAUGCCGCGUGCAGGAUGAAGGCCUUCGGGUUGUAAACUGAUUUUGUACGGAACGAAAAGCCUUCUUUUAAUACAGGAGGGUCAUGACGGUACCGUAAGAAUAAGCACCGGCUAACUACGUG